rnacentral:lncRNA from 1 species
AUGGACCCUCUGGGAAACAAGGACUCAGGCUCUUCACCUGUGCAGAGACACGUGUGCCUCAUCCAGGAGCCAGUCCAUGGGCUCUCCAGAGUGUCCAAAGUGACUGCACAGCUCCUGCCACAGCUCUGCCCUACUGCCCAGGACAUCUCCAGCCUCACGUGGUGCUGUCCCCAUCACCAGUGCAGUGACAGGGUGCCACAGCCCAGGAGUGAAGGGGGAGCUGCUCCAGAAACUCUUCCCUUUAUCAUCAUCAUCUUUGGAGGAGAUUUGUCUGAUGGUUUCUCUUCUACCACUUGCCACUUUAUCUCUGGACUCUUGCUGCAGCAGAUUUUCAGAGCCCUCCAAAUAUUUUGCUACUCAGAGCCGUGGGUGAGGUCCCCUGUCACUUCUGCUGAAAUGGGAGGUUGGGUGAGGAACCUCUGGAGUGCCUGGACAGACCAAACCUGGACCCUGGGGAAGCUGCUGGGUGUGUGGAGUGUGUGCAGAGAGGCACCAGGCUGUGGGUGCCACAUCUCUGCUGCUUCACAAUCCUCUCUCACUGUUGGUUUGUCCUGAGUAUUCAGCUGGUGUGGGCUGCUGCCUGGCUCGAGACAGAUUUUCCCUAUCUGCCAAUACAGAUGUCUUCACCAUUGGAGAGACCCAGGGCAGUGAGAAAAACCACCAUGUGCAGGAUUUAAAGUGAAUAAAGUGAAUAAAUAACCCA